rnacentral:rRNA from 1 species
GACGAACGCUGGCGGCGUGCCUAAUACAUGCAAGUAGGACGCAGUUGCGAACGGGUGAGUAACGCGUAGGUAACUACCUAUUAGAGGGGGAUAACUAUUGGAAACGAUAGCUAAUACCGCAUACUAGUAGAUGGACAUGCGUUGUAUUAGCUAGUAGGUAGGGCAAUGGCCUACCUAGGCAACGAUUCAUAGCCGACCUGAGUAGGUGAACGGGCAAAUUUGGCCGGAGACACGGCCCCGACUCCUACGGGAGGCAGCACUAGGGAAUCUUCGGAAAUGGGGGGAACACUGACCGAGCAACGCCGCUGGAGUGAAGAAGGUUUCCGGAGCGUAAAGCUCGGUUGUUAAGGAAGCGGUACUUAACCAGAAAGGGCCGGCUAACUACGUGCCAGCAGCCGCGGUAAUUC